ensembl:misc_RNA 7SK 7SK RNA
GGAUGUGAGGGCGAUCUGGUUGCGACAUCUGUCAUCCCAUUGAUCACCAGGGUUGAUUCAGCUGAUCUGGCUGGCUAGACAGGUGUCCCCUUCCUCCCUCACCACUCCAUGUGCAUCCCUCCGAAAGGUGCAUGCUCAGUUGAAGAGGACGACCAUCCCCAAUAGAGGAGGACCGUUCUUCUCCAUCAAGUGUAUACGAGUAGCUGCGCUUCCCUGCUAGAGCCUCCAAACAAGCUCUCAAGAAAUCUGGAGAUCAGCUUUUUUAGUUGAUGUGGUGGCUUGGUGAUAGCAUCAGGAAUGCAGGUUGUCCCCAUUUUUCUAU